rnacentral:misc_RNA from 1 species
ACGCCGUGGGCCGUUUACUCCAACUCUGCUCUUGGCCUUGGUUUUCACAGAGCGGCGACGAUUGUGCGUAGCUGGGUGACGAAACACACACGUUUUUAGGAUCUCUGCCCCCAGACUCUGGAGCAUAUUGCUGCUUCUGCGGCCACAAGUGUAUCUUUGAGAUGAGCGAGUUUUUCUGGGAUGUAGGGCGCGAAGAGGGUUCACUACAAGGCCCUCUUCUCAACGCACGACGCAAGAGAUGCCGCGAGGAGAAUUACGCGGUAGACGCCUAUCCUCGGCACCUCCCCCCACAUGUGCGAGUGCAGGUUGCAUGGGAGAACAUCACCACUUUCGUUUCACUUCGUGGACACGUCUUGGAUGCGCACGGCCGCUUUAACUCGGCCGAGUUCCCCGGUCUGGCCUUUUUUUACAACCCUGUGGUGGCGUGCGUUGCCUCUGGGACCGUAACACUGCAUUUUGAUAAUAGCACCUCGGUCACAGAGCGGAUCCUGCGCGAAGAACGGCCACUCCCGUGCCCCAUCCACGGACCAUUCCGCUGCCCGUGCCACAUCAUGCACGAGGCGGCAGGCGGUGUUGCUCAGCUGCUUCGCGAGAUCUUCUGUGAACACUCACCGUUCGACGUUUCUAUCGACUGCCACCGACCCUAUCCGCACAUUUGCAUUGACAGCCAGUCAAGGACGUGGUCUGUAUCGCUGGUGGGACUGCCGCUCCCCCCAAAAUCGUUCGGGCCGUUUCCGUUGGGGGACAUCACCUCUCCGCAGUCCAUCAAAAACUACUGGUUCCAGUACAUUGAAAAGAGCAGGGCUGCCGAGGACGCGUGCAUCAUGUGCGGGGUUGUGUCAGGGAUUCAUUGCUCCAGGUGCAUGUGUCGUCUGUGCAAGCGCUGCGGGGAGCACUGUGCCAACUGUUGGAGCUACGUGUGCCGUGGCUGUUCCACCUCUGGUGAAAACGGCACUACCAUCUGCUACAACUGCCCUUGCUAAGAGUCGCGAAAACAUGACAGCAGGCUCACGAGAGAGGUACGCUGUCUGCUUUUUGUCGUCCUGCUGUGGUAAUUGAGCACUGACCUGAUGUGUGUGACUUCGCGUUUCCUGUAGCGCUUUCACAGACAUAGAGAAAGCACAACAUAGAAAGACUGUGUGGCUCUGCGGUUUCAGCUUGGCUAGCAAAGUAUGUCUGGUGCGCGUCUGCCGCAUGGAACACGACUGAGGCGCUCUUACUGAUAGCCAUGCAAUCAGCGGUGUUUUUAGGAGGUGUUGAGCAGGCCACUUUUCUCGGCGUGUUCUCACGAGAGGUGCCAGGUCGUGGGUACCGCUUCUAGGCAAACUGUCUGCGCGCACGGAUCGAGGAAAUGUGGUCGAAGAGGUCCUAAAUGGAGUUCGUAUGCUUUUAUUCUUUUCUUCUUUUCACCUCUGUGCGUUGGCGGGUACGUCCUUGCGGCCUCCCCUCUCCCGUGGCU